rnacentral:rRNA from 1 species
CCCUUAGAUGUUCUGGGCCGCACGCGCGCUACACUGAUUCAUGCAGCAAGUUUUGUCCUUGGCUGAUAGGCCUGGGUAAUCUUUGAACGUGAAUCGUGAUGGGGAUAGAUGAUUGCAAUUAUUCAUCUUCAACGAGGAAUUCCUAGUAAACGCAAGUCAUCAGCUUGCAUUGAUUACGUCCCUGCCCUUUGUACACACCGCCCGUCGCACCUACCGAUUGAAUGGUCCGGCGAAAUCUUCGGAUCUGAGAGAUGACUGAUUAAUUUCGGACGCCUUUUGGAAAAGUUGCUUAAACCUUACCAUUUAGAGGAAGGUGAANUCGUANCA